rnacentral:misc_RNA from 1 species
UGUCUCUGCUCUUGAUAAUCGGUGUUUCGCUUCAUCUUCGUUUUGUUUAAGAUUUUUGCUUUUGUGAUGAAAUGAGCUUUUACUUUGAGCUGAUAUUCAAUGGCUGAUUGUUAGGUUCAUUUUUUGGCUUGAGUUGAGAGGUCCGGUUUUUAUGAACAAUCGGAUUCUAUGUCUUUCAACUACAUGAUGAAGUCAUUGAUUAAACCACCUUUGUUAAUCGAAACUACUACCUAUCCACAUCUAAAUUUUUCAUAGACCAUGCAGUCUAUAUGGUAACACCAGGUGUAUUCCAUGAACAUUAUAAAACGGCCUGACGGCAGGUCGUCUGAUCUUAUACUGGAAGUUAUAUUCUAGCCUCGUAGG